AUACGGAGGAUCCGAGCGUUAUCCGGAUUUAUUGGGUUUAAAGGGAGCGUAGGUGGAUUGUUAAGUCAGUUGUGAAAGUUUGCGGCUCAACCGUAAAAUUGCAGUUGAAACUGGCAGUCUUGAGUACAGUAGAGGUGGGCGGAAUUCGUGGGGUAGCGGUGAAAUGCUUAGAUAUCACGAAGAACUCCGAUUGCGAAGGCAGCUCACUAGACUGUCACUGACACUGAUGCUCGAAAGUGUGGGUAUCAAACAGGAUUAGAUACCCUGGUAGUCCACACAGUAAACGAUGAAUACUCGCUGUUUGCGAUAUACAGUAAGCGGCCAAGCGAAAGCAUUAAGUAUUCCACCUGGGGAGUACGCCGGCAACGGUGAAACUCAAAGGAAUUGACGGGG
rnacentral:rRNA from 1 species